rnacentral:lncRNA from 1 species
CACCUUCGCCUCAAACUUCUCAUCCAAUAAUAUAUUACUAGCUUUAAUAUCCCUGUGAAAAAUUGCCGGCUGUGCACCAAAAUGCAAAUAGGCCAAUCCCCUUGCCGUCCCAAGAGCAAUCGACUGCCUAAGAUGCCAACUAAGCUUCGGCCCAUUGGAAGCAAACAAAUGAUCGUAAACGCUUCCAUUCUUCAUCAAAUCACAGACAAUAAUUCUCUGGUGACCCUCUAACUGAGUAGUGGCAAUACAAUAACCUCUCAAAGCAACAAGAUUGACAUGCCUAACGCUAGCAAUAACCUCCACCUCAUGCUUGAAAUUUGCAUCACCCGCCGCGGAACAAUUCUUGAACCUCUUCAAAGCAACCUCAGAGCCAUCGGGCAAAAGCCCUUUGUAGACAUUACCAUAACCUCCUCUCCCAAUGAUAUUAUCCCUAGAGAAAUUCCGAGUAGCUUUCUUAAUGUCAUCAAACGUGAACCUGACCAAAUUAGUACUCUCAUGAAUAGACUCCAAUCCCAUUUCAAUUCUAUUAACCUCUUCGCGUUCCCUCUUCUUUCUUCUGUUAGAAACCACACGCUUACGCCAAAAGAUCCAAACCCCACCAGAAAUUAGCAACAACCCAACAACACAAACAACCAAAACCCCGGCAAUUAAGCCCUUGUUCUUCUUCUUACUCUUCUUUGAUGAUUCAGUUACCUCAAAUGAGAACAAACACUUAGCAGUGCCCCUAUCGGUGGGACCAAACUGAUUGACGGCCGCGGCGGCGUAAAUGAAGGGAUAGGCCAGACAAUCAGACAAGUUCCCAACGGAACGCCCGGUCAAAUGGGACGCCUGCAAGCGGGACAAGCUGGUAGUACAAGCAGCACAAGGGGCACUAUUCUCCAAGGACUGGUUACAGUUGGAAACGACGUCGUCGAGAGUGGACUGGGGGAUCAAUCUCUCGAACUGGGAUCUCGUGGAGAUGUUCAUACAGCCUUCAGAGAUCCAAUCGGUUUGGAAGCCGCAGCGGGAGCGUACGUCGAAGUUCGGGGCGACUCUGUCGACAAGGGUUUGGUAAACGCGCCAGCAUGACUCGGAGGCGUUGAGGGGCGGCAGGAAGUUUCCGGAGCGUUUGAGGUAUUGUGAAUCCACGAGACGAAGGCCCUUUUUAACUUCCUGACACUGCGAGGGCAGGUCACUCGGAGUCCUGAACUGGGGUAUCAGCAGCUGUAAGAAGUUGAAGUCAAGCGGGCACGAAACGGUGGCGUUUCGUUGUGCCGCGGCCGUUGUUGUGGAGGCCGCCAGGAAAAGAAUGAGAACAAGGCCUCGUAAGAAUGACAUCGGCAUCGACAUCUCGGGGACGGGGAGAGAUACCGGGGGGUGUUGGUAGCAGUACAGAGACAACAAAGACAACAAUAAGGAAAAGCAUGUGCACGUGCUUGUGCUUGGGGAUUGUGGUGCAAUUUGAGUAAACUAGUGUAAUUUGAGUUGGGAGUUUGACUAAUCACUAGUAAAUUCCAUAUGCCGAGCAAUGGGUGAAGGCGGCAGGCAAGGCAACACAGCCAGCCAGUUAUGACAGUUGAUUAACUUAACCUACUGCAAAUUUGAAGCUUCAGAGAAGGUGAGAUAGUUCAAUUCAUUUGAUUUCGUUCAAUAAAAAUAUAAUAAAUAAAAGUUAUUGCUUCCUUACUUACCUAGUUUGUUCAUUUUCAACGCCUUAUUUUUGUCUGUCAAUAGAAAAUUCAAGUCCAUUCAUCGAAUUUGUGUGUGAAAGUUCAAGAAAGGGAUGCAAUAAUAUGUAGGGGAGGAUUGGUUAUUUUUUAUCUUACAGGCGGAAUAGGGUGUUUUUAUAAUGGGCUGCUCUGGAUCUGAAAGGAGACUCUUUUUAAAAAAAAUGAAAGAGACAAAAGAAAGAGACAAAAGAAAAUUGCAAAGACAUGUCAUCAAUUUCUAAGUCUUUACAAGGAGGUCUCCUUCUCCUUCUCCUUCUCCUUCUCGUAUGGCCUUUUAUUUUAUUUUUUAUUUUUUUUGAGUUAGAUAGGAAGUCUCUGUCUUGUCUUAAACUUGAUGUUCUGUAAGAUGUCCCAUUGGUCCGAAUUAUUGCACUAUCUUUUCAUCAGGUACUGUAUUUUAUAUAAAUAUAUUCUCAUGUCACAUAAAAUUCGAUGCAAAGUUUAUUGGGAUUUAAUGACAUCAAUAAAUCAUCAAUAAAUCCUCCUUUGUUUAUCUAUUCUUUUAGACUUUCUUGUACAACCUUAUUUCUCUUUUCCUUAUGGGGAAUGCUAUUCGAACGUCUAUCCAUUUUACCAUUUAAAGUGAAAAGCGCUUGUACAAAAGACAAUAAUACUAGGGAGAUCUUAGUAGUAGUAUUUGAGUUUUAAUCCAAAUUUUAUUAUCAUGUAUCAUUUAUUUAUUAGAUAAUAAAUUUCAUAACUUAUACAUUAUUUGACCACCAUCUGAUAAAUCAAUACUCCUAUAAAAAUAGUUAUGGAUGGAACAAUAACAUUCACAUCACUCAUUUUUCAUGUGUUAUCAUAAAAGCAUGUUGUUUGUUCAUUUUGUAAAAAUACCCUUAACCCAUGUUUGGUUGGAAGAAAUGGUAGGAGCGGAAAGGAAAGAAUGGGAGAGAAAAUGAGUGAAAAUGAGUGAAAAAGAAUGUCAAUUUCAUUUUUAUUGUUUGGAUGGUCAAUGAAUUCAUUUUUCUCCCCUUAUUUUUUCCCCUCUCCUCCUUUCCUCUUCUCUCCUCUCCUUAUAUUGUUCCAAACCAAACAUGCCAUUAGUCUUGAAUAUUUCUCAAAAAUGACACUUGGAAUCACAAUUUAUAUGAAAAUGAACAAAAAAAACUCUCUAAUGUUUCGACAAAGGCAUCCACACAUCAUUUGAUUGUAAAUUCAAUUAGUUUAUAAGGCAACAAUGGUAAUUUAGUACAUUUAUCCUAAAAAUAUUCAUGAUAUACUAAAAAAAAAAAGGUUCUAAUCUUAUUUUGUUUUACAUAAACAUCUCAAAAUUCAUUGUAAGUGAUGUGAUAUUCAUUAGGGAUGAGGAUUUCGAUUUUUUGUUGUUCAAUUUUUACGAUUUUCGGUUUAGGUUACAACCCAUUCGAGUCUAAGAUUUCAACCUAAGCAUGUUGAAAGAUUGUUUCAGUUUGGUCUACUUUGGUUCGGUUUGGUUCGGUUUGGUUCAAUUUGAUACGAGUAUAUAAUUUGGUGUGGUUUUGGUUUGUUAAUUCAGGUCUAAACACAGUUUCGGUUAUAAUAAAAUAGCAAUAUGUGAUUGUAAGAGUGAGGCAAAGAUGGAGAAUAAUUUUUUUUUUUUUUAAAAGGUACCUUAUGCUCGUGAAGAUCACAAUUGUAUUUAGGCCUGUAACAACAACCUGCAGAAAAUAACUUGCUCAGGUCAGUCCUAUUAGAAAAAGUGUCUAAAUUCCGAGAAAUUACUAGAGUCGGUGAGAGAUAGAAACCUGAAGAAUGGCAUAGAUUAUUGUUCCAACGCUGGAAGAAAAUCCUAAGGACAUUACAAGUAUAAGAACCAAAAUAUUAUGGUCGUUCUAAAUUUUUGAGAGAACAUGAAAGCAUAUCCUUGCAGAGAUCUCAUUACCUGCUGACUCAAAAAUAGUGCUGCUGUAAAAACAGAUUCCAUUGAUUCCACCAAAUUGUUGAAACACCAUCAAUCCGACUCCAAUCUUGUCAAAAUGAAUAAAUUGUAGGAGGAGUCAAUGAGAAGAUAAAAUGUAGUUGCAUUAUAGAUGAAGGAGAAAGAGGAAUUUGUACCGUGACUGAGCGCAAGUAUCUUCUUUGAAACAAAUCCAGCAUUCCAGCUUUUGGGAGCCUUUCUAGAGUUUCUAUGUAAUCCUGUUAAGCAACGAAAAAAAUGCUUCAGAUAAAUUUUCUUCUCAAUGGUCCAAUACACAUAGUCAGUGUGGAAUGAUACUUAUAACUCAGAUAUAAGACCUGGAUUCCAGCUGCCUCAUGUGUUAUAUCAGCAUCCUUGCCACGAAGUUUCUGUAGCGCAGCUUCAAACUCUUUUUCCUUUCCUGUCUUUGCCUGUAUCCAUGGCAAGUUCAGUUUCAUGUAUUCAUCUUUUUCUUGGAGUGUCAUUAUCAGGUAUCCUUACCAGCCAUCUAGGAGACUCCGGGAUGAAAAAGAGACCCAAAAACAAAAUUGCACAGGGGAUGAUACCUGCAAUAAUUGUCUGUAAGCCUUCUGUUUCAUUAUCCUUUCGUAGUUCGUUUUCCUUUUUAAGUUUUCUUGGACAGUUGAAUAAAUGGAUGGUUAAUCAUUUUCACCUGUUAGUGCUAAAGCUCUCCAUGUUAGUACCGUCCCAAUUAUGAAGGCAACUGACACACCAGCACAGAUCAUAAGCUAUAUACAAACAUCAGAAACAAUUAGAUAGAUCAUAGAUUGCUUAAUUUUGGGGCAACUAGCUAUUCGAGAGAUAAAUUAAAAUGACAAAUGAGAAUUUCCUCCAAUUAAGAUGUCUGCAUUUUUAGCUUACCUGAUUUGCAGCUGUUAGUGCUCCUCGAAGAUUCUUGGGUGCAAUUUCAGCAAUAAAAACCGGCACCACAUACGAAAAGACUCCCAUUCCAUAUCCUGUUGCCAAUCUUCCAAUAUCCAAUGGCCAAACCCCCUUUUGUUUCAAUCAAAACAGAAAGAAUAUAAUUGGUAAGUUUAUAGGAAAAUUGUUCUCUUUGCUAUGUAGCUGAAAGAAAUAGGGGAACAAAAAAAUAUUAGUAGAGCUUAAGAAUAUAUGAACCUCAGCAAAGUAAAUAGCAAGCCAUCCUGCAACGCAGAAGACACUUGAAACUCUCAUUGCCUGCACAUAUUAAACAAUCUUACAAGCUAAAUAUUCACUAGAACACAAUUAAGCUCAUAUCCUAAACAUGCAGUGAUUAAUCAGCUAAAAAAUAUAUAUCUUCUUACCCCUUUCCGACCAACAUAAUUAGCAAUUGGCCCACUGGUGAUUGCCCCGAUCAUGGCACCAAAUGUUAAUAUGGAGCCAAACACGGAAUACUGCAUGAGUAUAAACCAAAACCAAAAUGAAAAAAUUUCAUAUUUACCAACUGAAUGGAAUUAGUCUCUGCAGGAAUCAUAAUAACAUUUCUGCACAUCUGCUUCAGCUUAAUAUAACUUGUAUUCAACAAGACAUGCUCUGUCGCUAAAACAUCCUUGUCAAGACACUAAACUCAUGAUUCUUUACUUCUUAGUAAAUAAACAUACACUAAAAAAGUGAUUAAUUUGGAACUAAUUAGAAGAAUGCCCAUUCAUCAGCAUACCUCUGCGAGGGACAGAGCGAUAUCUUCCCUGAUAGCACUCUGAGUAGGAGAUGAAUAUCCAGCCUGCAAAACCAAAUUGACAAUUCCACAACCUAAGCCUUCCAAGCAUUCAACAGAAAAAAAAGUGAAAAUCAUUGUUUCAGAAUUUGGUUUCAGGAAAUGGACUUACACACGAUCCGAAAGCAUAAGAACCGCAAACUGCAAUGGGUGUGCUGAAGUAAACCAUGCACGGAUUUACUUUCUUGUUGUUUGUUCGGUCACCAGCUCCACCAUCUUCAUGAGCUAAGAUGUUCUCAAUCGGCAUAAGUGGUUCCCUUAUAUUUUCUUGAACAUCCUCUUUGACGUCCAUGAUGAUGCUGAUACCUUCCAAAAAGUUGCCUUAGUUUAUCUAAUAGAAGAAAUUGAAAGAAAUUGUUACAAGAUAAAGGAGAUACGCGAAGAUGGAAGCAGAAGCAAACUAUAUCAUCUAUCAAUUAGCCACAAGAGGCUGGAAUUUCUUGAGUCUUCCCUCAAUACUCCUUCGUGAGUUUUAUGAAAGUACUAACACUGAGGACAAGUAGGCAAUUUGUUUUUUCACACAACUGGAUAAUGAAUCUGAAUCAACGACCAUAUGUACACGUUCUACUCGAAGUAAUAUGUACGCUACUAAACUCAACUGGUGUUAUUUUGUCGUUUGCAUGAAAACUGAAACCUGAAAAGAUGACUUAAAGAUACAUGAACAGGCAGAAACCGCAAGCCAACAUGACUUAAAGAGAAUUUCUUCGAAGUAAAUUUUCCCACGGUUUGUUUGUGUAGGAGAAAAUCUAGGUCCCUCGUUAUCUCGUGUUUAGAAUUGUCAACUGUCGUGCGAACCUCUAAAGAUUCAAGAAAAUCAAAGACAAUUUCAGAUUUUUCUUCACCUGGGAUGUGGCUAAUUUCUUUCGGCACCCAUACCUUCUGUAUCAUUUAAAAUGUCUUAAUAAGCUUAAUUAGCCCCCAUGAAAUGCUUCACAGCUGAAGGCACAGCGAGUGUGCCUUUUAUUUUACUACAUCGACUUUCACAUGGAGAUUAUAAGCCGUAGUUAAAUUGUAAGAUAAGAAUGAAAUUAUGGAUACGUCAAAGUGCCAAGUUGAAUUAAUAAAAAAAUAGGAAAACGACGGUUGUGUGUGUCUAUCCUACAUUAUAAGGAAACAGUUAAGUUUCCAACAAGAGACAUGAUAGCCUUUUAUUUUAUUAUCCUAAAAAAAUUGGCUCAAAUAUUUUAUAAUAAAUAUUAAUAUAAUAUAAAUAUUUUAAAUAAUUUUAAUAAUUAAAAAAUACUAUAAUAUUUUACAAUCUAUUAGAUAAAUUUUAUUAUAUUAAAAAAAGUUUUAGAAUAAAUGAAAACAUAAUAUUAAAAUAAGUAUAUAAAAAUUCAAAAUAUUUGGGAUACAAUGUAAAAUAAUUUUAAUAUUAUUAAUGCGUGCAAUAUAUUUUAUUAAAUGUAAAGUAUAUUUAACUGAGAGAUUUAUUUAAAAUCUUUGUAAUAGAUUCAUGAAAGUAUUAAAAUAAUAUAGUAAUAAUAAAAAAUUAUUUUUAAAUAUUUUAAUAUUAUUAAUUUAUUAAAUAGAUUAAAUUAUUUGUGUUUAUGUAUAUUUACUCAAAUAUUUAAAGUUAAUUAUUUUAAUCAUUAUAUAUAAAAGAUAUUAUUUAACUUUAUUUAUAAAAAAUUUGGGGAUAUGUAUGACCAUUUUCAUAAAUUUUGUAGGUAAUAGCCCCUUUUCCUAAAUAAAUAAAUUAAUUAAUUAAAAAUGGAGAAAGGUUUGGCAGAGUUGUGUUUGGCUUGAGAUUCCUUUUGACAAGCAAUUCUUGACAGGAAAAUGAGUUGGUUGUUUGUCUUUUAUCCCCAAAGAUGUGAGACUGAUUCAAGUUAUUUACGCAUCCUGUCCAUUAUCCAACAACAAUUCUGGUGACGACAGUGAUCUGAUCUACUACCCAUUUUACUUAGUAAUAAAUUAGGUACAGCCAGCCACCGAUUUAGAAUGGAGAGUUGGCAACCGCAUUGGUUCACUCCUGAAAAAAUAUUAAAAAAACAAAUGGAGAGUUGCAAUUUGCCAUGUGUUUCGAUGAUGAAUUCAAAAGUGGUUGUUUUGGGAUAUAUUUGAAUAAAGGAAUGCAGGCCUUGGAGAAAUAAUAAUAAUAAUAAUGAACAACAUAUAUGAGAUCUUUCAAAUUGAUGCCGUAAGAACUUGAUAGAUCAAGAGGGUACUUAUAAAAAUGAUCGACACUAAAUUUUCACGGUUGCAUUAAAUUUGCAGUUCGCCAACAAAUAUUUCCACCCAUUUGCAAGUAAAAACGAAAUUCAACAUCAUGCCUUGCCAAUCUCAGAGUGAACAAGCAUGGUUGUAGCUCAAAUUGACCUUCAGGCUCAAGAGAACUUGCAGAUCCCUUUCCCACAAUUUUUCAGAAUUGAUUUAACAUGAAACAUCACCUCAGAACAAGAACAUAUAGUAAGACUCGAAUGUUAACAUCUCAGAACAAGAACAUAUAACAAGACUCGAAUAUAACUUCCCAUAUUUACUGCCACAGCACAAAAUUCAGAAUUAGUUUCUUCGGUAAAUCCCGAUUAAAGAACUGGCCGAAUCCAUCAGUUUGAACUAUAAAAAUGCAGCGAUAAGGCUAUAGAAAAAGCAACAAGAAGAUCAAUGAAGCUACAAACACCAGUAGUCUCAGAUAGUUGACCAUAACAUUCAAUGUACAGAGACAAAUCCCACCUUGUACCGAGAUGGUGUGCUGUUUCUUCCAGCACAAGUUUCACCCGUAUGAAACUGCCACAUUUUCCUUAAUCUUCUAACAGCUCUUAACCGACUAUGCUUUUAUGCAGACACUUAGGUCCAAAACAAGCAGAUUAAGCCUGGAGCAUUUACUCUAUCAAUCGAAAGAGACAGGUAAUGAAGACUUCUCAAAUGCAUUUACUUCACACAGGUAUCCUCGGUUGGCCUCUCCACAUUGACAUCUAUAGAUGCAGUGUCGGAUCCUCAAGAAGCAACAAUGUUAAAUGCAUAUCACUCACAAUAUCCCGUAAUAACACAAUCUUAUGAGCAAAAUUUGCAAAAACACCAAAACCACACAGGACCUUAGUAAAUGAAAACACCUGCUAUUCAUAUACAAGUAGAAUUUUAGCUUUGUUAUCACGAUGCACCCUACUUGAAAAGAAUCAACUUUGAAUUAUGCAUCUAUGUACUCUUUACAAGGUGGAACAUGAUUCAAAUUUCAAGAACCACGAAAGCCAUAUAAAAAAUAUAUCAAGGCCAACAAAACCAUCGGUGCAGACACCGGUAAUUACAACAAUUCUACUGGUUUGGAACCAGAGUUUCUCACUUCUUCCUUAUGACUGGAAUCAGAGAUUCUCACUUCUUCCUUAUGACUAGAAGGGCGCUCAAUUUCAGUAAAAGCCUGAUAGCCGGUAUAACUUGAGAACUGACCUGAGCCACUAUUACUGCUCAUAGACUUCUCAAUCUCAUCUAUCUCAGCUACAAGAGAAAUUGGUCGUUCUGGGAUUGUGGGAACAGACUGCUCAGUUUCCAACAUUUUCACGACCUGAUCCAUCGUUGGCCUGGCAUAUAACUGUGGAUGGGAACAAAGAACGGCAAUCGUUACAUACUUCUCUAGAACUUCGGGUACACCCAUCUCUGGCAUACCAUCUUCAAUAACAUCCAGAGCUCUCCCCUCCUUCACCAAUGACCAAGCCCAGUCCGUCACAAGAGAAGCUUGGCCAUCAUCAUUCAUAAUGAGUGCCUUCCUGCCACUCAAAAGCUCCAGAAGCACAACACCAAAGCUGUACACAUCACUCCUGUCAGUCAAUUGCCCAUACAAAGCAUACUCAGGAGCAAGAUAUCCCAUUGUCCCAGCCACCCUAGUACUCAAAUGAGUGAACCCCUCCGGUGUAAACUUUGCAAGCCCAAAAUCCCCCACCUUUGCCUCAAACUUCUCAUCCAAUAAUAUAUUACUAGCUUUAAUAUCCCUGUGAAAAAUUGCCGGCUGUGCACCAAAAUGCAAAUAGGCCAAUCCCCUUGCCGUCCCAAGAGCAAUCGACUGCCUAAGAGGCCAACUAAGCUUCGGCCCAUUGGAAGCAAACAAAUGAUCAUAAACGCUUCCAUUCUUCAUCAAAUCACAGACAAUAAUCCUCUGGUGACCCUCUAACUGAGUAGUGGCAAUACAAUAACCUCUCAAAGCAACAAGAUUG